CACCGUUAAUUGUGAAGAGCGCCACCUGUUGUUUGGUUUUCCCGAUAAUGUAUGUGGCGGUAGGCUAGGCCUGUACACCAAGCAUGUUUUGUCAGUUGACAGAGUUUGAAGGUUCUACCAAGGAUGUCAACUGUGGAGCACAUACAGGAUGCAGAGCACACUGAUGACGUAUCACCAUGGCAACGCGUAUUGCUCAACAUCACUUGAAUGAGAUUGUACCUGACACCGUUAAUUGUAAAGAGCGCCACCUGUUGUUUGGUUAUCGAUCAACAUCAUGCAGCAGAUAAUGCAGCGGUAGGCUAUAUAGGCCUGUACGUCAGAGUUACUUCAACAACAACGAUAGGUUCAACUACAACUAUGCGCAGGCCAAAGCCACA